rnacentral:rRNA from 1 species
AUUGAACGCUGGCGGCAGGCCUAACACAUGCAAGUCGAGCGGAGCGGCGGACGGGUGAGUAAUGCCUAGGUAUCUGCCUGGUAGUGGGGGAUAACGUCAGGAAACGGGCGCUAAUACCGCAUCCUAUCAGAUGAGCCUAGGUCGGAUUGGCUAGUUGGUGGGGUAAGGGCCUACCAAGGCGACGAUCCGUAACUGGUCUGAGAGGAUGAUCAGUCACACUGGAACUGAGACACGGUCCAGACUCCUACGGGAGGUAGCAGUGGGGAAUAUUGGACAAUGGGCGAAAGCCUGAUCCAGCCAUGCCGCGUGUAUGAAGAAGGCCUUCGGGUUGUAAAGUACUUUCAGUCGGGAGGCGUUACCGACAGAAGAAGCACCGGCUAACUCCGUGCCAGCAGCCGCGGUAAUUC